AUUGAACGCUGGCGGCAUGCCUUACACAUGCAAGUCGAGCGGCAGCGCGAGGGCAACCCUGGCGGCGAGCGGCGAACGGGUGAGUAAUGCAUCGGAACGUGUCCUCUUGUGGGGGAUAACCAGUCGAAAGACUGGCUAAUACCGCAUGAGCUCGUAAGAGGAAAGCAGGGGACCCGCAAGGGCCUUGCGCGAGAGGAGCGGCCGAUGCCCGAUUAGCUAGUUGGUGGGGUAAAAGCCUACCAAGGCGACGAUCGGUAGCUGGUCUGAGAGGACGACCAGCCACACUGGGACUGAGACACGGCCCAGACUCCUACGGGAGGCAGCAGUGGGAAUUUUGGACAAUGGGGGCAACCCUGAUCCAGCCAUGCCGCGUGUGUGAAGAAGGCCU
rnacentral:rRNA from 1 species